rnacentral:rRNA from 1 species
UACGUAGGGUGCAAGCGUUGUCCGGAAUUAUUGGGCGUAAAGAGCUCGUAGGCGGUUUGUUGCGUCGGCUGUGAAAUCCCGAGGCUCAACCUCGGGUCUGCAGUCGAUACGAGCAAACUAGAGUGUUGCAGGGGAGACUGGAAUUCCUGGUGUAGCGGUGAAAUGCGCAGAUAUCAGGAGGAACACCGGUGGCGAAGGCGGGUCUCUGGGCAACAACGUGAC